rnacentral:rRNA from 1 species
UACGAAGGGGCUAGCGUUGCUCGGAAUUACUGGGCGUAAAGCGCACGUAGGCGGCUUUCUAAGUCGGGGGUGAAAUCCUGGAGCUCAACUCCAGAACUGCCUUCGAUACUGGAGAGCUCGAGUCCGGGAGAGGUGAGUGGAACUGCGAGUGUAGAGGUGAAAUUCGUAGAUAUUCGCAAGAACACCAGUGGCGAAGGCGGCUCACUGGCCCGGUACUGACGCUGAGGUGCGAAAGCUAGGGGAGCAAACGGGG